UUUAUUUAUUUAUUUUGAUAAAUGGAAAGUUGGAUUUAUAAAAUGUGUAUGAAAAUAUAUUUACUAGUUAUUUUUUAAAGUAAAAGGGUGCAGAAAGAUGUGCUUCAACUAAAGUAGAUUAAAUUAAAAAGAAAAGAAUAUAAAAAAAUUGGGAAAUAUAAAAUAUAAUUAUGUGAAUAAAAAACAAACAAUUCAAAAGGAUAAUACACAAAAGUACUAAAAAGGUUAAGAAAUAUCAAAUUUUAAUUUGAAGUAAU
rnacentral:lncRNA from 1 species